rnacentral:lncRNA from 1 species
CUGGUAAAGAAGUUGUUUGAUUAUGAAAGUUCAUCAAAGAGCAUAGAGUGGCACCCUCCAUUGAUGCUCCAAUCUUUCUGUAUCGAUAGCAAUACUAGAGCUAUAGCUCAAGCUGAUGAAUUGAUGUUCUAUCUGUAAAUCAAAUACUUUCUACAUUGCAAUCACCUUGUUCGAUAAGAUCGAAAUAAAGUCAACCUUAGGA